GCACCAUAGUAUGCAACCCUGUACAUUCUGGGAAGUGUUUUGUACGGGCAAAGCUGGUGCUACAGAAAUUCAUGGUCUAUCCAGAUGGACCUCCUCUUCUGUGGAGCCUGUCUCUACAACCUUGAAACACAA